rnacentral:lncRNA from 1 species
GGCAGCAGUACCAGUGUGUAUGUCUGCAGUACCAGUGUGGAUGUCAGCAGUACAAGUGUGUAUGUCGCAGUACCAGUGUGUAUGUCAGCAGGACCAGUGUGUAUGUCAGCAGUACCAGUGUGUAUGCAGCAAGUAACCAGUGUGUAGGUCCAGCCAGUACCAAGUGGGGUAUGUCAGCAGUAUCAGUGUGUAUGUCAGCAGUAUCCAGUGUGUAGGUCAGCAGUGUGUAUGUCAGCAGUACCAGUGUGUAUGUCAGCAGUACCAGUGUUGUAUGUCAGCAUGUGUAGGUCAGCAGUACCAGUGUGUAUGUCAGCAGUACCAGUGUGUAAUGUCAGCAGUACCAGUGUGUAUGUCAGCAGUGUGUAUGUCAGCCAGUACCAUGUGUAUGCUCAGGGUGUUGUCAGCAGUACCAGUGUGUAAUGUCGCAGUACGUGUGUAUGUCAGUAGUACCAGUGUGUAUGUCAGCAGUACCCAGUUGUAUGUCAGCAGUAUCAGUGUGUAUGUCUUCGCAGUACCGUGGUUCGCAGUACGUGUGUAUGUCAGCAGUACCAGUGUGUAUGGCAGCAGUACCAGUGUG